UAAUUCCGCAUAAGCGCCCCAGUUUGCCUGAAACCGUGUGAAAAGUUUUUUCGGUACAAGAUGGACCCGCGUCUGAUUAGCUAGUUGGUGAGGUAACGGCCCACCAAGGCGACGAUCAGUAGCCGACCUGAGAGGGUGACCGGCCACAUUGGGACUGAGACACGGCCCAAACUCCUACGGGAGGCAGCAGUGGGGAAUAUUGCACAAUGGGCGAAAGCCUGAUGCAGCGACGCCGCGUGAGCGAAGAAGUAUUUCGGUAUGUAAAGCUCUAUCAGCAGGGAAGAUAAUGACGGUACCUGACUAAGAAGCACCGGCUAAAUACGUGCCAGCAGCCGCGGUAAUACGUAUGGUGCAAGCGUUAUCCGGAUUUACUGGGUGUAAAGGGAGCGUAGGCGGUUUUACAAGUCUGAUGUGAAAGCCCGGGGCUCAACUCCGGUAUUGCAUUGGAAACUGUAGAACUAGAGUGUCGGAGGGGUAAGUGGAAUUCCUAGUGUAGCGGUGAAAUGCGUAGAUAUUAGGAGGAACACCAGUGGCGAAGGCGGCUUACUGGACG
rnacentral:rRNA from 1 species